GGUCUGCGGCCUAUCAGGUAGUAGUGGGUGUAAUGUACCUACUAGCCUACGACGGGUACGGGUUGUGAGAGCAAGAGCCCGGAGAUGGGUUCUGAGACAUGAAUCCAGGCCCUACGGGGCGCAGCAGGCGCGAAAACUUUACAAUGCGGGAAACCGUGAUAAGGGGACACCGAGUGCCAGCAUCAUAUGCUGGCUGUCCGGGUGUGUAAAAUACACCUGUUAGCAAGGGCCGGGCAAGACCGGUGCCAGCCGCCGCGGUAACACCGGCGGCCCGAGUGGUGAUCGUGAUUAUUGGGUCUAAAGGGUCCGUAGCCGGUUUGGUCAGUCCUCCGGGAAAUCUGACAGCUUAACUGUUAGGCUUUCGGAGGAUACUGCCAGACUUGGAACCGGGAGAGGUAAGAGGUACUACAGGGGUAGGAGUGAAAUCUUGUAAUCCCUGUGGGACCACCUGUGGCGAAGGCGUCUUACCAGAACGGGUUCGACGGUGAGGGACGAAAGCUGGGGGCACGAACCGGAUUAGAUACCCGGGUAGUCCCAGCCGU
rnacentral:rRNA from 1 species